rfam:Cajanus cajan CcLG01_743, whole genome shotgun sequence.
UUGUCUCUUGGAGUUCCUCUGAACGCUUCACAGGUGGGGCUAGUUAACUAGAUAUAUAGAAUAUUAAUAGUCCUGAUCACACAAGUGAAGUGUUUGGGGGAACUUUUAGGCACAA